GUGCUCGUUUCGGCAGCAGAUAUACUAAAAUUGGGAUGAUACAGAAAAGAUUAUCAUAGCCCCUGCACAGGAUGAUACGCAAAUUCAUGAAGGGUUUCAUAUUUUU